rnacentral:rRNA from 1 species
GACGAACGCUGGCGGCGUGCUUAACACAUGCAAGUCGAACGGAACGUCCCUGCUUUGUUGCGGUGCUCUAGUUGCGAACGGGUGACUAACACUUGAGUUACCUGCCCCUCACCUUGGGAUAACUUCAUGCAACUGGGGCUAAUACCGCAUAAGAGCUCCUGCUGCUUGGUGGGGGUUGGAAGGUUUCGGCGGUUGGUGAUGGACUCGCGGCCUAUCAGCUUGAUGGUGGGGUAGUGGCUUACCAAGGCUUUGACGGGUAGCCGGCCUGGGAGGGUCACCGGACACAUUGGGACUGAGAUACGGCACAGCCUAGUACGGGAGGCAGGAGUGGAGAGUGGAGCACAAUGGGAGGAGCGAUGAUCUGAUCAAGCAGCGUGGCGGAUGACGGGCUUCGGGUUGUGAUCCGCUUUCGUCUGUGCCGAAGCGUGAGUGACAGUACCGGGUGAAGAAGCUCCGGCUAACUACGUG